AACUUGCCUCACAGACAGGGACAACAUUUGGAAACGGAUGCUAAUACCUGAUAUUAUGAACUGUGCGCAUGCAUAGAUUAUGAAAGCUAAAUGCACUGUGAGAGAGCUUUGCGUCCCAUUAGCUAGUUGGAGAGGUAACGGCUCACCAAGGCGAUGAUGGGUAGCCGGCCUGAGAGGGUGAACGGCCACAAGGGGACUGAGACACGGCCCUUACUCCUACGGGAGGCAGCAGUGGGGAAUAUUGGACAAUGGACCGAGAGUCUGAUCCAGCAAUUCUGUGUGCACGAUGAAGUUUUUCGGAAUGUAAAGUGCUUUCAGUUGGGAAGAAGAAAGUGACGGUACCAACAGAAGAAGCGACGGCUAAAUACGUGCCAGCAGCCGCGGUAAUACGUAUGUCGCAAGCGUUAUCCGGAUUUAUUGGGCGUAAAGCGCGUCUAGGCGGUUUAUUAAGUCUGAUGUGAAAAUGCGGGGCUCAACUCCGUAUUGCGUUGGAAACUGGUAGACUGGAGUACUGGAGAGGUAAGCGGAACUACAAGUGUAGAGGUGAAAUUCGUAGAUAUUUGUAGGAAUGCCGAUGGGGAAGCCAGCUUACUGGACAGAUACUGACGCUGAAGCGCGAAAGCGUGGGUAGCAAACAGGAUUAGAUACCCUGGUAGUCCACGCUGUAAACGAUGAUUACUAGGUGUUGGGGGUCGAACCUCAGCGCCCAAGCAAACGCGAUAAGUAAUCCGCCUGGGGAGUACGUACGUCAGUAUGAAACUCAAAGGAAUUGACGAGGACCCGCACAAGCGGUGGAGCAUGUGGUUUAAUUCGACGCAACGCGAGGAACCUUUACAGCGUUUGACAUCC
rnacentral:rRNA from 1 species